CCUACGGGUGGCAGCAGUGAGGAAUAUUGGUCAAUGGGCGCGAGUCUGAACCAGCCAUGCCGCGUGCAGGAAGACUGCUCUAUGAGUUGUAAACUGCUUUUGUACGAGGGUAAACUCAGAUACGCGUGUCUUUCUGAAAGUAUCUUACGAAUAAGGAUCGGCUAACUCCGUGCCAGCAGCCGCGGUAAUACGGAGGAUUCAAGCGUUAUCCGGAUUUAUUGGGUUUAAAGGGUGCGUAGAUGGGUUGAUAAGUUAGUGGUGAAAUCUCGCGGCUCAACUGCAGAAUUGCAUUUGAUACUGUCAGCCUAGAGUGCAGUUGCGGUAGGCGGAAUGCAUGGUGUAGCGGUGAAAUGCUUAGAGAUCACAAAGAACACCGAUUGCGAAGGCAGCUUACUAAGCUACCUCUGACAUUGAGGCACGAAAGUGUGGGUAGCAAACAGGAUUAGAUACCCGAGUAGUC
rnacentral:rRNA from 1 species